CCUAGCUGUGUUGGCUUUCUAACCCGCACCACUUAUCGUGGUGGGAGACAGUGUCAGGCGGGCAGUUUGACUGGGGCGGUCGCCUCCUAAAAGGUAACGGAGGCGCUCAAAGGGUCCCUCAGAAUGGGUGGAAAUCAUUCAUAGAGUGUAAAGGCAUAAGGGAGCUUGACUGCGAGACCUACAAGUCGAGCAGGGUCGAAAGACGGACUUAGUGAUCCGGUG
rnacentral:rRNA from 1 species